GGAGGGGCCAACUGGCGACGCCCAAUCAGCUCCCCAGACCAUUGAAGGCGCUUCGUCCGGCUUCAUCCGCCCAUCGGUCAGCGCCCUGAGGCCGGCUUCCCGCCCUCGGGCAGCGGGCAUGGCAGGAUCAGAGAGGCGCCUCGCCCACCGUGAAGAGCAAGAAUAAACAGGAAAUAAUGUCAUCAUCUAAUAAUCCUUGGUCCUCAUCUCAGGAUGACAACGAAAGUUCCAAGCUUCUGAGAAAGUCAAAGGAAUCACCAUUCAUUCCAAUAGGUAUUGCGGGAUGCCUUGCUAUUGUGGCAUUGGGUUUACACAGACUGCGCAAAACAGAACAGAAGAUGUCACUGCAUCUAAUCCACAUGAGAGUGGCUGCUCAAGGCUUUGUGGUUGGAGCAAUGACGUUGGGUGUCCUCUACUCCAUGUAUAAUGACUACCUCAGGAAACCUCGACAAGGAUAGCAACCCUUGGCAAGAGUGAAGGUCUUGUGUUUGGACUGGAGUCAGGCCUUGACUCAAUUAACUGAUCUGCAGUGGAUUUUGGAAGCAUGGUUGAGGACAGGUGUGCACAGUGUUUUCAGUGAGUUGAAGCUUUCAGUAAAGCUUUCUUCCUGUGGUACACAUGAGUACACACAGUUGUUUGACCUUUAUUACCAAGACCCUGGAGCAGCUGAGGGCUUGGUGCCUCUGCAGUGAAGCAGCCACUCAGAAGUGUGCUGUCUGAGAUUAUUGCAUGGGGAGGCUGCUCUCGUUUCCACUCCAGAACUGCUCACUACCACACAACAUCCUUCAUCACACUGACACUCCCGCAACUUCAUUUCGCUUCUACGUAGAUCUUCCUGCUGAUAGAGCUACGUGGUCAGAGUAUUCUGUUCAGUAUCUGAGGGGUGUCUUACGUGAACACAGGGUGUGUAAUGCAGAAGGCCUUGUCUCUCUAUAGCAGCGUUGUUUCUCUGGGACCCAAUCCUGUCUCUCCCUCUUUCUCCAUUAAUUCUGACCCAGCAAUCGCCUGAGUCCCAGGCCCCUGCCAACUACCCAUCACUGCACUGAUUUCCCCCCCAUAACAUCACCAACCUCUGCGGCCAUUUUCAGUUAUAAUUUAAGUUCUCCACCCCAAUUUUAUUUCUGACUGGUGCUACAAAACAGAUAAGUGU